AGUGAACGCUGGCGGUAGGCCUAACACAUGCAGGUCGAACGGCAGCACAGGAGAGCUUGCUCUCUGGGUGGCGAGUGGCGGACGGGUGAGGAAUACAUCGGAAUCUACUUUUUCGUGGGGGAUAACGUAGGGAAACUUACGCUAAUACCGCAUACGACCUACGGGUGAAAGCAGGGGAUCUUCGGACCUUGCGCGAUUGAAUGAGCCGAUGUCGGAUUAGCUAGUUGGCGGGGUAAAGGCCCACCAAGGCGACGAUCCGUAGCUGGUCUGAGAGGAUGAUCAGCAACACUGGAACGGAGACACGGUCCAGACUACUACGGGAGGCAGCAGUGGGGAAUAUUGGACAAUGGGCGCAAGCCUGAUUCAGCCAUACCGCGUGGGUGAAGAAGGCCUUCGGGUUGUAAAGCCCUUUUGUUGGGAAAGAAAUCCAGCUGGUUAAUACCCGGUUGGGAUGACGGUACCCAAAGAAUAAGCACCGGCUAACUUCGUGCCAGCCGCCGCUGUAA
rnacentral:rRNA from 1 species